rnacentral:lncRNA from 1 species
CCCCAAGGAGCAGAAGAGCCAGUGGCUCUCAGAGGUGGAAAUGAGAGAUGAAAAGCAAAAUGCCAAGUUGACUGAGAUUUUGGAGCUCUUGGUUGCAGCUGUUCUUCCAGACCAAGAAUUAAAAGCUCAUGGCCUUUGAACAAGGCCAUAGGAGAAAUGACUUGGUGCAUCCAUAUGACAUGGAUUCUGGCUUAUUCUUUCAUGAAAACCCUACAGAGGUCGAAACUUAGCUCCAUCAGCUCUGCCAAGCAUGCACUGUCCACACUUAAUGGGGCCCUACCAGACUUGAGAUUUUUUCCAUACAUUUUCUAUUAUUCAGUGGCUGGUGAGGUAAAGCGAGCCGUAGAAACAAAAUAAGCAACGGGUGACUACACCUGCUCCUAUUCUAUAUCCUGCUUUUGGAAACCUACAGCCUUCCUGACAAGGAUGACUUCAGGAAGAGAAAGGAAACGGUCAUCAAAACAAUCACUGACGUCU